rnacentral:rRNA from 1 species
CGGCCCCUAAAAUCAGUGGCGNUGCCUGUCGGCUCUACGCGUAGUAAUACNCUCGCGUCUGGGUCCGGUAGGUCUACUUGCCAGCAACCCCCAAUUUUUACAGGUUGACCUCGGAUCAGGUAGGGAUACCCGCUGAACUUAAGCAUAUCAAUAAGCGGAGGAAAAGAAACCAACAGGGAUUACCUCAGUAACGGCGAGUGAAGCGGUAACAGCUCAAAUUUGAAAGCUAGCUCUUUUAGGGUUCGCAUUGUAAUUUGUAGAAGAUGCUUCGGGUGUGGCCCCGGUCUAAGUUCCUUGGAACAGGACGUCAUAGAGGGUGAGAAUCCCGUAUGUGACUGGGUGCUUUCGCUCAUGUGAAGCUCUUUCGACGAGUCGAGUUGUUUGGGAAUGCAGCUCAAAAUGGGUGGUAAAUUUCAUCUAAAGCUAAAUAUUGGCCAGAGACCGAUAGCGCACAAGUAGAGUGAUCGAAAGAUGAAAAGCACUUUGGAAAGAGAGUUAAACAGUACGUGAAAUUGUUGAAAGGGAAGCGCUUGCAACCAGACUUGCGCGUAGAUGAUCAUCCGAACUUCUGUCCGGUGCACUCUUCUACGCUCAGGCCAGCAUCGGUUUCGGUGGUGGGAUAAAGGCCUUGGGAAUGUAGCUCCUCUCGGGGAGUGUUAUAGCCCUCGGUGCAAUGCCGCCUACCGGGACCGAGGACCGCGCUUCGGCUAGGAUGCUGGCGUAAUGGUUGUAAGCGACC